rnacentral:lncRNA from 1 species
CUGCUUGUUUGCCACUUCCCAAAGAAGAGGGUUUAGGGUCCACCUUCCUCAAAACCCGUAGGUAUCCGACCUUCUCCCAGCAAAUGAUACUGCUGUUGCACCCCCUGGGAACACAUGACAGGAGUAUUGCCCUCUGUCUACACGAGAGGGGACUCACCCAGGACCCAUGGUUGCCAGGUAAUGCCAGCACUUCUCUCUACUAUUCGCAUGUGCUGUGCCCUACUGAAACGGGAGAAGCUCCCAGCUCUGCACCCCUCCUGGCUAAAGGUGCUUUCCUUUCUUCCACAGGGGGUUGCUGGACAACAGGAGUCAGAAUUAAGUCUUGCCAGUAUUUUUAUUCAGACUGAAAAGUGUUUUACUCCCUACUGGAACUAGAAAUAUAAUCAGUAAUCAGAAUUAUGCUCAGGGAACCUGUCUUUCAAGCCAUGUAAAGCGAUGUCAGGUGGGUCACUGCCCAUGACAGCAAUUUACAAGGAACGCCAAAACGUCCCUGGGAGAUAGUGAGAUGGAGAAAGUUUAUUCUCUACAACUUCUUUUUGAAAGAUUUCUGUACAUGAUUAGAAAUAAUAUUUUGAUAAAGUUGUUCGGGUUGGUUAUGGGAAUAAUUUCUUCAAGAGGAAUGCUUGAGUAAUAACAUAUAAGAGUUAAAUACUCUCAUAACUUCAGGGCUUUUGUUCUGUUAAGCGGGCUUAUAGGUAUGAUGGUUUCAGGUGGUUGGGCCGCAGCCCAUGCACUCUGUCAGUGGUCCUUUCUUCUUCCAUUUCUGUCUUCCUUGUUCAGUACUCAGUUUCUCUUAACAUGUGUUUAACAAAUCUUUUUAGCCUGAGGGACCAAAUUGUCAGCCUAACAGGGUGCUCAAAUAUUUCCAUCUGAACUUGCCUGUCCCUUUAUCUGUCCUACCAGGGCUUUCAAAUAAAUAUCAAUAAUCGAUAUGAUUUAUAAUAAACAUCAAUAAUCAAAAAAUACAUCAAGUAAAUAAGACCACAAGCUGCUUGGCUAGAAAUCGUGACCCUACCACUUGCUAGUGAUAACAGUCGUGGAAUGCAGGGCAGUUUAAUUAACCUUUCAUGGUCUCUGUGUUCUCAUCUUUAGAAAGGAGAUGUUCCGACUCAUCUCGUGGGGUUAUGUGAGGAUUAAAUGAGUUAAUACACAUAAAGCCCUGCUAAUAAUUCCUGCUACAUAGU